rnacentral:misc_RNA from 1 species
GAUGAAGAACGUAGCGAAAUGCGAUACUUGGUGUGAAUUGCAGAAUCCCGUGAACCAUCGAGUCUUUGAACGCAAGUUGCGCCCGAAGCCAUUAGGCCGAGGGCACGCCUGCCUGGGCGUCACACGUCGUUGCCCCCCCAUCUACUCCUUCGGGAUGGCGGGGGGCGGAUGAUGGCCUCCCGUGCGCCUCGUCGCGCGGUUGGCAUAAAUGCCAAGUCCUCGGCGACGCACGCCACGACAAUCGGUGGUUGCGAAACCUCGGUUGCCCGUCGUGUGCGGUCGUCGCGCAUCGAGGGCUCGAAAAAAUUGCCGGGCUCCGGCUCGGCUUUCAACGCGACCCCAGGUCAGGCGGGGUUACCCGCUGAAUUUAAGCAUAUCAAUAAGCGGAGGA